GCCCUUGUGGCGUAGUGGUAGCGCGUCUCACUCGUACAUCGAUUUAAUGAGAAGGUCCAUCGUUCGACCCGGUGCGAGGGCA
rnacentral:tRNA from 1 species